rnacentral:misc_RNA from 1 species
GAUGAAGAACGCAGCGAAAUGCGAUAAGUAAUGUGAAUUGCAGAAUUCAGUGAUUCAUCGAAUCUUUGAACGCACAUUGCGCCCCCCAGUAUUCUGGCGGGCAUGCCUGUUCGAGCGUCAUUUCAACCAUCAAGCCCUGCUUGUGUUGGGGUCCUGCGGCUGCCCGCAGGCCCUGAAAACCAGUGGCGGGCUCGCUAGUCACACCGAGCGCAGUAGCACAUCUCGCUCAGGGCGUGCGGCGGGCUCCAGCCGUUAAAGCACCCACCUUUCGCAAGGUUGACCUCGGAUCAGGUAGGAAUACCCGCUGAACUUAAGCAUAUCAAUAAGCGGAGGA